rnacentral:rRNA from 1 species
GUAGCAGGAAGUGCUUGCACUUUGCUGACGAGUGGCGGACGGGUGAGUAAUACUUAGGAACAUGCCUUUGUGUGGGGGAUAACCAUUGGAAACGAUGGCUAAUACCGCAUAAUGUCUUUGGACCAAAGAGGGCUUUCGGGCUCUCGCGCAAAGAGUGGCCUAAGUGAGAUUAGCUUGUUGGUGAGGUAAAGGCUCACCAAGGCGACGAUCUCUAGCUGUUCUGAGAGGAAGAUCAGCCACACUGGGACUGAGACACGGCCCAGACUCCUACGGGAGGCAGCAGUGGGGAAUAUUGCACAAUGGGGGCAACCCUGAUGCAGCCAUGCCGCGUGUGUGAAGAAGGCCUUCGGGUUGUAAAGCACUUUCAGUUGUGAGGAAAGGUUGAUGGUUAAUACCCAUCAGCUGUGACGUUAGCAACAGAAGAAGGACCGGCUAACUCCGUGCCAGCAGCCGCGGUAAUACGGAGGGUCCGAGCGUUAAUCGGAAUUACUGGGCGUAAAGCGCACGCAGGCGGUUUGUUAAGCUAGAUGUGAAAGCCCUGGGCUCAACCUGGGAAUUGCAUUUAGAACUGGCAGGCUAGAGUUUUGGAGAGGGGAGUGGAAUUCCAGGUGUAGCGG